UACGGGAGGCAGCAGUGGGGAAUAUUGCACAAUGGGCGAAAGCCUGAUGCAGCUAUGCCGCGUGUAUGAAGAAGGCCUUAGGGUUGUAAAGUACUUUCAUCGGGGAGGAAAAAACAAAACUAAUAAUUUUAUUUCUUGACGUUACCCGAAAAAGAAGCACCGGCUAACUCCGUGCCAGCAGCCGCGGUAAUACGGAGGGUGCUAGCGUUAAUCAGAAUUACUGGGCGUAAAGAGCACGUAGGUGGUUUUUUUAAAGUCAGAUGUGAAAUCCCUGGGCUUAACCUAGGAACUGCAUUUUGAAACUGAAAUACUAGAGUAUCGUAGAGGGAGGUAGAAUUCUAGGUGUAGCGGUGAAAUGCGUAGAUAUCUGGAGGAAUACCUGUGGCGAAAGCGGCCUCCUAAACGAAUACUGACACUGAGGGUGCGAAAGCGUGGGGAGCAAACGAGGGAUUAGAUACCCGU
rnacentral:rRNA from 1 species